CCCACAUCCACAGAGAGUACGUCUACACUGCAAUUAAAAACCCACAGCUGGCCUGUGCCAGCUGUCUUGGGCUUGGGCUAAGGGGCUGUUUAAUUGCAUUGUAGAUGAGGUGAGAGGGUCCCAGAGUUCAGGCUGCUGUCUAAACCCAAAUGUCUAUAUCCCAAUUAAACAGCCCCUUUGCCUGAGUCCCACAAGCCUGAGUCAGCUGGCAUGGGCUAGUUGCGAGUAUCUAACUGCAGUAUAGACAUACCCAAAGGGGCUCAGGUACUAUAACAUUCAGUAUCAUUGCACCUAACUUUUAGGGGCCUAGAAAAUCACAGGAUCAUCGCUGUGAUCCACAAAGCCUGAGUUAGGUACCUUGGAUCUCCAUACAAAAAAUGGGGAGAGACAGGUGCCUUAGAAUGGGAUCUACAAAAGCCAGUAAUGCUAAGCAGAGAGGUACCUAAGUUAGGCCCUGGGAGAUGGUGAUGCAGGGGUCUUGCCCCUCUCAGAGUUAUGUGCUAAGUCUGGGCUGUAGGGAGGCAGAUAUAUGUGCUUAGUGACCCACAACCAGGAGCGUGCUGUCUAGAGUCAGGCAGAUUAGGCAACUAAACUACUUCUUGCAGGAACGAGCCUGAUGACCAAUUCUGGAUAGAGAAGCUUUUUUUGCUGGACCACAGCCAUUCAAUGGCGUGAGUGCGGGCCGAGUAUGAAAGAGAGAGACUGUUAGCACCUGUUUCCACAUAGCCUCAAAGACUGAUCUUUAUGCAGCUGAGAGCUCCAAGGGAUAUCCCUUAAAAUAAAGGCCAGCUUAUUACCCAUCUUCUCCA